UACGGAGGAUCCAAGCGUUGUUCGGAUUCAUUGGGCGUAAAGCGCGCGCAGGCGGUCUUCCAAGUCAGUGGUGAAAGCCUGGAGCUCAACUCCAGAACUGCCAUUGAAACUGUUAGACUUGAGUACGAGAGAGGUGAGUGGAAUUCCCAGUGUAGAGGUGAAAUUCGUAGAUAUUGGGAAGAACACCGGUGGCGAAGGCGGCUCACUGGCUCGUAACUGACGCUCAGGCGCGACAGCGUGGGGAUCAAACAGG
rnacentral:rRNA from 1 species